UGGAUGAGCUCUGACUCU
rnacentral:snRNA from 1 species